rnacentral:rRNA from 1 species
GCGUGAGUGAUGAAGGCCCUAGGGUUGUAAAACUCUUUCGUCGGGGACGAUAAUGACGGUACCCGAAGAAGAAGCUCCGGCUAACUUCGUGCCAGCAGCCGCGGUAAUACGAAGGGGGCUAGCGUUGUUCGGAUUUACUGGGCGUAAAGCGCAUGUAGGCGGGCCGAUAAGUUGGGGGUGAAAUCCCGGAGCUCAACUCCGGAACUGCCUCCAAAACUGCCGGCCUGGAGCGUGAUAGAGGCGAGUGGAAUUCCGAGUGUAGAGGUGAAAUUCGU